UACGAAGGGUGCAAGCGUUACUCGGAAUUACUGGGCGUAAAGCGUGCGUAGGUGGUUUGUUAAGUCUGUUGUGAAAGCCCCGGGCUCAACCUGGGAAUGGCAAUGGAUACUGGCAAGCUAGAGUGCGGUAGAGGGUAGUGGAAUUCCCGGUGUAGGCGGUGAAAUGCGUAGAGAUCGGGAGGAACACCGGUGGCGAAGGCGGGUCACUGGCCCGGUACUGACGCUG
rnacentral:rRNA from 1 species